AUAACGAUCACCAGGGGAUCUUGUUAAAAUGCAGAUUCCGAUUCAGCAGGUCUGGGGUGGGGCCUGAGAUUCUGCAUUUCUGACGAUCUCACAGGUGAUGAGGAU
rnacentral:pre_miRNA from 1 species